rnacentral:rRNA from 1 species
GGUGAAGCAGAGCUUGCUCUGUGGAUCAGUGGCGAACGGGUGAGUAACACGUGAGCAACCUGCCCUUGACUCUGGGAUAAGCGCUGGAAACGGCGUCUAAUACCGGAUAUGAGCUGCGAUCGCAUGGUCAGCAGUUGGAAAGAUUUUUCGGUCUGGGAUGGGCUCACGGCCUAUCAGCUUGUUGGUGAGGUAAUGGCUCACCAAGGCGUCGACGGGUAGCCGGCCUGAGAGGGUGACCGGCCACACUGGGACUGAGACACGGCCCAGACUCCUACGGGAGGCAGCAGUGGGGAAUAUUGCACAAUGGGCGAAAGCCUGAUGCAGCAACGCCGCGUGAGGGAUGACGGCCUUCGGGUUGUAAACCUCUUUUAGCAGGGAAGAAGCGAAAGUGACGGUACCUGCAGAAAAAGCGCCGGCUAACUACGUGCCAGCAGCCGCGGUAAUACGUAGGGCGCAAGCGUUAUCCGGAAUUAUUGGGCGUAAAGAGCUCGUAGGCGGUUUGUCGCGUCUGCUGUGAAAUCCCGAGGCUCAACCUCGGGUCUGCAGUGGGUACGGGCAGACUAGAGUGCGGUAGGGGAGAUUGGAAUUCCUGGUGUAGCGGUGGAAUGCGCAGAUAUCAGGAGGAACACCGAUGGCGAAGGCAGAUCUCUGGGCCGUUACUGACGCUGAGGAGCGAAAGGGUGGGGAGCAAACAGGCUUAGAUACCCUGGUAGUCC